rnacentral:rRNA from 1 species
UACGGGGGGGGCAAGCGUUGUUCGGAAUUACUGGGCGUAAAGCGCACGUAGGCGGCUUUUUAAGUCAGGGGUGAAAUCCUGGAGCUCAACUCCAGAACUGCCUUUGAUACUGGGAGCUCGAGUCCGGGAGAGGUGAGUGGAACUCCGAGUGUAGAGGUGAAAUUCGUAGAUAUUCGGAAGAACACCAGUGGCGAAGGCGGCUCACUGGCCCGGUACUGACGCUGAGGUGCGAAAGCGUGGGGAGCAAACAGG